GACGGGGACCCGCACAAGCGGUGGAACAUGUGGUUUAAUUCGAAGCAACGCGGAGAACCUUACCAGGGCUUGACAUCUGACGAAUGUUUAUGAAAGUAGACAGUGCCUUCGGGAGCGUCAAGACAGGUGGUGCAUGGUUGUCGUCAGCUCGUGUCGUGAGAUGUUGGGUUAAGUCCCGCAACGAGCGCAACCCUCGUUAUUAGUUGGUGUUAGCGGUAUACUGUUAACGACCUCUCUAAUGAGACUGCCGGUGAUAAACCGGAGGAAGGUGGGGAUGACGUCAAAUCAUCAUGCCCCUUAUGUCCUGGGCUACACACGUGUUACAAUGGCCGGUACAGCGAGCAGCCAACUCGUGAGAGUGAGCAAAUCUCUAAAAACCGGUCUCAGUUCGGAUUGCACUCUGCAACUCGAGUGCAUGAAGUCGGAAUCGCUAGUAAACGCAGAUCAGCACGCUGCGUUGAAUACGUUCCCGGGUCUUGUACACACCGCCCGUCACACCAUGGAAGUCGACCACGCCCGAAGUGCGUGAGCUAACCGUAAGGGAGCAGCGUCCUAAGGCAGGGUUGGUGACUGG
rnacentral:rRNA from 1 species